rnacentral:rRNA from 1 species
UACGUAGGGCGCGAGCGUUAUCCGGAUUUAUUGGGUUUAAAGGGUGCGUAGGCGGCGGGAUAAGUCCGUGAUGAAAUGCCAGGGCUCAACCUUUGGCGCUGUUACGGAUACUGUUCGGCUUGAGUGCGUUCGAGGCCUCUGGAAUGAGUGGUGUAGCGGUGAAAUGCGUAGAGAUCACUCGGAACACCGAUUGCGAAGGCAGGGGGCCGGGGCGCAACUGACGCUGAGGCACGAAAGCGUGGGGAUCAAACAGG